rnacentral:rRNA from 1 species
UGGGGAAUAUUGCACAAUGGGCGCAAGCCUGAUGCAGCCAUGCCGCGUGUAUGAAGAAGGCCUUCGGGUUGUAAAGUACUUUCAGCGGGGAGGAAGGGAGUAAAGUUAAUACCUUUGCUCAUUGACGUUACCCGCAGAAGAAGCACCGGCUAACUCCGUGCCAGCAGCCGCGGUAAUACGGAGGGUGCAAGCGUUAAUCGGAAUUACUGGGCGUAAAGCGCACGCAGGCGGUUUGUUAAGUCAGAUGUGAAAUCCCCGGGCUCAACCUGGGAACUGCAUCUGAUACUGGCAAGCUUGAGUCUCGUAGAGGGGGGUAGAAUUCCAGGUGUAGCGGUGAAUUGCGUAGAGAUCUGGCGGAAUACCGGUGGCUAAGGCGGCCCCCUGGACGAAGACUGACGCUCAGGUGCGAAAGCGUGGGGAGCAAACAGG